UACGGGGGGGGCAAGCGUUGUUCGGAAUUACUGGGCGUAAAGCGCACGUAGGCGGACUACUAAGUCAGGGGUGAAAUCCCGGGGCUCAACCCCGGAACUGCCUUUGAUACUGAUAGUCUCGAGUCCGGAAGAGGUGAGUGGAAUUCCGAGUGUAGAGGUGAAAUUCGUAGAUAUUCGGAGGAACACCAGUGGCGAAGGCGGCUCACUGGUCCGGUAUUGACGCUGAGGCGCGAAAGCCAGGGGAGCAAACGGG
rnacentral:rRNA from 1 species